UAAGACGACAUAGUCGAAAGCACUACCAAUACAGUUAACCUGGGCUUUCCUAGUUCCAAAAACGCUGAAGGUUUCGGAUAUAAUGGAGCUGCCUGCAUGCGUUUACUUAAAAACGUUAGCACUUGAGGGUCCGGUGCAGCAUUGGCGGUGCUCGUGCUUGUAUCAAGCGUAGAUAACCUAUUGUACUUUAUGUGUGUAGGAGAGAAGAACGUUCGACUCAGUUUGCCGGUAUGUUCAUAAUGUUGAUGGUAGAACCUUUUCAAACAUGGUCUUGUGUAAAUGCA